UACGUAGGGUGCGAGCGUUAAUCGGAAUUACUGGGCGUAAAGCGUGCGCAGGCGGUUAUGCAAGACAGAUGUGAAAUCCCCGGGCUCAACCUGGGAACUGCAUUUGUGACUGCAUGACUAGAGUACGGCAGAGGGGGAUGGAAUUCCGCGUGUAGCAGUGAAAUGCGUAGAUAUGCGGAGGAACACCGAUGGCGAAGGCAAUCCCCUGGGCCUGUACUGACGCUGAGGAGCGAAAGCGUGGGUAGCAAACAGG
rnacentral:rRNA from 1 species